rnacentral:rRNA from 1 species
CCUACGGGGGGCUGCAGUGGGGAAUAUUGCACAAUGGGGGAAACCCUGAUGCAGCAACGCCGCGUGAGCGAAGAAGGCCUUCGGGUCGUAAAGCUCUGUCCUAAGGGAAGAAGCAUGACGGUACCUUAGGAGGAAGCCCCGGCUAACUACGUGCCAGCAGCCGCGGUAAUACGUAGGGGGCGAGCGUCAUCCGGAAUUACUGGGCGUAAAGGGCGUGUAGGCGGCUAGGUAAGUCAGGUGUGAAAACUCUGGGCUCAACCCAGAGACUGCACCUGAAACUGCAUAGCUUGAGGGCAGGAGAGGAAAGUGGAAUUCCUAGUGUAGCGGUGAAAUGCGUAGAUAUUAGGAGGAACACCAGUGGCGAAGGCGACUUUCUGGCCUGACCCUGACGCUGAGGCGCGAAAGCGUGGGGAGCAAACAGGAUUAGAUACCCGUGUAGUC